ACUCAGUGAAAUUGAACUCGCUGUGAAGAUGCAGUGUACCCGCGGCAAGACGGAAAGACCCCGUGAACCUUUACUAUAGCUUGACACUGAACAUUGAGCCUUGAUGUGUAGGAUAGGUGGGAGGCUUUGAAGUGUGGACGCCAGUCUGCAUGGAGCCGACCUUGAAAUACCACCCUUUAAUGUUUGAUGUUCUAACGUGGACCCGUAAUCCGGGUUGCGGACAGUGUCUGGUGGGUAGUUUGACUGGGGCGGUCUCCUCCUAAAGAGUAACGGAGGAGCACGAAGGUUGGCUAAUCCUGGUCGGACAUCAGGAGGUUAGUGCAAUGGCAUAAGCCAGCUUGACUGCGAGCGUGACGGCGCGAGCAGGUGCGAAAGCAGGUCAUAGUGAUCCGGUGGUUCUGAAUGGAAGGGCCAUCGCUCAACGGAUAAAAGGUACUCCGGGGAUAACAGGCUGAUACCGCCCAAGAGUUCAUAUCGACGGCGGUGUUUGGCACCUCGAUGUCGGCUCAUCACAUCCUGGGGCUGAAGUAGGUCCCAAGGGUAUGGCUGUUCGCCAUUUAAAGUGGUACGCGAGCUGGGUUUAGAACGUCGUGAGACAGUUCGGUCCCUAUCUGCCGUGGGCGCUGGAGAACUGAGGGGGGCUGCUCCUAGUACGAGAGGACCGGAGUGGACGCAUCACUGGUGUUCGGGUUGUCAUGCCAAUGGCACUGCCCGGUAGCUAAAUGCGGAAGAGAUAAGUGCUGAAAGCAUCUAAGCACGAAACUUGCCCCGA
rnacentral:rRNA from 1 species